rnacentral:piRNA from 1 species
UGGCACGAACUGGGCCCUGAUGGAGGA